CUCUUUUCUUUAUCACCAUAACUAUUGAAAAAUGUCUGAAAUUGUUGUGGCUGCUUUAUUAGAUCAUAUAUCUGCGUGCGCGCACGUGCGCGCACGCGCGCGCGCACACACACACACACACACACACACACACACACACACACACACACGUUUAUAUGUGUACCAUGGCCUUAGCAGAUCCCAGCAAUGGUUUGAUGAUAUACAGCCUGAAACCUUCCAGUAUCAUGUUCAUGCCCAGCACUUCCAGAGGUCUCACCCUUGUCUCUAAAGCACUGUGAUGCUGACUUAGGUCUCACUUGUUGGACACCAGCAGAGGUCCAAGGUGCGGCACUUGAUCAGACCUGAUGGACACAAGUAGGAAGCAAUUCACUGAAAGAUGAGAGGGGAUGGUGAGGCCUAUUAAGUUGGAUGAUUGAAUUUCUAGCUUGGAGACACUGGGAAAAUUCGGAUCUCAUUUCCCCAUAAACACUAUCAUCAUGAAGUUAAUAUGAGCUAGAUAUUUCACAAUGUUGCCCACACCAUGACACCACACCCUUUUCAAUAUGGAAAAAAAGACAACUGCUUGGAGUAUUCCACAGCAAAUAUCCUUGACCUGUGAGUAAAGUUGUCUUUCUUUCAAAAUUGUUUCCAGUAUUUGAUUUUUUUCAAAGAAAAUACUUUGGGGAUAAGAGUAUCUUACCCAAAAUGUAUACAAGCUAUAUCUUUUAUCUGUUUUUAUUCCUUUUAUAUACUUUUCUACAUAUGGCCUUUGAUGUUAAUGUGUAGUAUUGAUAACCAGAUAACAUGGAACUGUUAUAAAUAUAUCCAUAAAUACUAAUGCCGGUCAUCAGCUAUUUCAUGUGAACAUGAGUCUUCCAGUCUCAUGAGGCAACUGGUUUUUUUUUUUAAUUUUUUAUUAACCAUUCCAUUUGUUUACAUAUCAAAUGAUAUCACCAUUCCAGGUUAUCCCACCACAACUUACCCACCCCACAUCUACCCUCUCCCCCUCCCCACUCUAUGAGGGUGUUCCCCCACCCACCCACUCCUGCCUCACCUCUCCAGCAUCCUCCAUGCUGGGGCAUCAAACCUCCACAGGACCAAGGACCUCCCAUCUCAUUGAUGUUAGGCAAGACCAUCCUCUACUACAUAUGUAUCUGGAGCCAUGGAUCCAUCCUUGUACACUCCUUGGUUGGUGGUCUAGUCCCUGAAUGCACUGGGUGGUCCAGCCAGCUGACAUUGUUUUUCCUAUGUGGUUGCAACCCCCAUCCACUACUCCAUCUUCCCCACCACCAGGGUCCCAGCUCAGUCUGAUGGCUGGUUCCAAGCAUCCGCAUCUGCAUUGGUCAGGUGCUGGCAGAACCUCCCAGGGAACAGCCACACCAGGUUCCUAUCAGCAGGUGCUGAGGCAACUGUUAACUCUCUGAACACGCCAGGUAUUGAGCUGCCCAUCAGAGAAGAUCACUGUCAUCAUCUAAAGUUUGUCAGCUGCUGAUCUACACAUUUUGGGUGAAAUUUCUCAAUAAGACUGAGCAAGUAAACAGCAUACCAGACCAGGAGGCAGUUUUUGACAAAUUUUCAGAGUUCUGAGCAAAAAAAAAAAAAAGGCAGAGCCACCCGAUAAGACCUUGAGGAGCUCAAAGCUUCCAAGGCUGUGUCAGAAACAGAAUCCCAAGGCUGUUGUCUCAGAGGUCAGAUUUUGACAAGUUCCUAUAUUCUUGGCACUUUUAUUGCAAAAGAUUUCCAUUGACUUUAAGGACUUGUAUUGCAGAGGGUUGCUGGUUAAUCCCUCUGGAAUUUAGGAAUGGAAGAUAACAAACUAACACACAGAGAGAAUUAGAACGAGAGAGAAAGAGGGAGAUAGAGGGAAAGAAGGAAAGGAGAGAGGGAAAGCGAAAGGGAGAGAUAGAUCCUGGUCACUGUAUUAUCAUGUGUAUUUGCUCUACCCGAUUUGAUUUUUAUGUGGUUGGGAAGGACAAAACAAGGGGUUAAUACUAAGAAAUGAAACAUAAUCAAAGCUGUUAAAGAACAAACACUGAGCCCUCAAUGCUUCCACUCCCAGGCCCACCAGGUCUUUAAAGAGAUGCCUCUGAUGGGAGCAUGGAACUUCAGUGGCUCUGUGAAAUUGUGACAUUGGGUUGAGGAUCUUUGGGCUUGUACCAAGGUAGCUGGGUCACAAGGUCAAUGUAAUCUUAGCUUUUGGGGAGCACCACACUGAUUUUCACAGCAGUUGUACUAGUUUAUGAUCACAGGGAAGGUGAAUAUGAAGCCCUAUUUCCUAUAUCCUUCCUGCAUUUGUAGUGUUUUGACUUUUAGCUUUCUCUAAAUCAUAGUUUCUGGUGCUCAAAUGUUUACAAAUGUCCCCUGAACAAUGUGCUUCACAUGAAUUUUGUUGAAUUUCAUUCUUUUCCACUGAGUAGUGUUUGAAGUGCAGGUGUGCAAGAGAUAGUAUGUGCAUUGUGUCUCUUGGCUGUGAUAAAGUUUCAAAGUAGUAAUCUUGUGAAAUUAUCAAAUCAAAUGCCAAAAACUGAGAAUCACCUGUGGAUUUUACUGAGCUGACUUCACAAAGGAGUGGAGCCAAAGUCCCCCAAACAAACCCUAGUUCACAAAAACUCAGCAGAGCCAUGUGGUGGGCACACAAUCUCAUGUUCAUGGUACAAUCCAGAUGCUCAGGAGAAACAUGUGGGUGAUUAUUCACACAGCUUGGCUGUGCAUGAGGAGUCCUGUAUAUACAUAUUAAACACACACACACACACACAUAAACAGGACACAUAUGUACAUACACACAAUAAGCAUGCACUAAACACCAUCAGCGAGUCAGGGAGAAUGGAGGCACCAUUAAACCAGGGUGUAGCUAAUGGAUUUGUAUUUGGACAGACUUGUUUUCCUAUUGGCAUUUGUGUUCCAUUCUCACUGGCAGCUUGGUAGGUACUAGGCUCAUGAUUUUAAAGUAGACAAAUGAUUGAGUUUCAGAAAGACCAUGGGUUGACCUGCAGGGGAAAUGCAGCAACAGAACCAGAUCCAGCCAGAAGAGAAAAGAUAAUGUGGAAAACCAGCAGAAUGGACUCGUGAUUUAGAGAGAGGCUGAGACUGAUCAUAUGAUGAAUGUCAGUGAAGAAUAGCUGCAUCCCAGAACUCAGGGUGCAGAAGCCGAGGACGCUGCUCUUCACUAGCAAUGCUGGUAUCUCAGUGACAGGGACAGAAAUGACCAAAUCUCUGGUCUUGGAAACAUGGGUCCUUAUAAUCAGGUAGUGUCCAUGAGAGAAAACUGUCAGAUAAAAUGUCUUCCUAGUACCAUCUGGCCUCUAACACUCUAUGGAAGCUUGACUUCCCCACUCUUGAGUUUCAACAGUCAAGGACAUGGGACAUGUAUUUUACAUGAGAGUGUAAUAAUCAGUCUAUGUUUUACACAGGCAAAACUGAUAUCAAUAAGAUGUCUACAUAUAAGGUUGUUUGGUUGCACGAGCAAGUAAGAUCUUCAUAGACAGGAGUCUCUUGUUCUUCAAGGUUGGUGCUUCCCCCACUUUGUGCAACAUGGGAUCCACGAAGACCCUGACCAUAGUUACUGAGUGACCAAAUCAUUAGACUAGAUUCUCUCAGUUUAAUCAUUCUAUCAGGCAAAAGAGAAGAAUCAUCAGGUUUUCCUAGUACCUUUUAUAGAUGGUAUAUUGAUCACAUUUUCCCUUUCUUAUUAUUCUUCUCUCACACUUUACAUCCUGACCACAGUUUCUGCUUCAUCCACUCUCCCUCCUCCCCUACCUCUCCUCUUCCCCAGAUCCAAUGUUCCCCAUUUCCCUCAAAAAAGAAUAGACAUCCCAGAAAUAUCAAUCUAACUGAGCAUAACAAGAUAUAAUAAGACCAGGCACAAAGCCUCAUAUCAAGGUUGGAAUAGGCAACCCAUUAGGAGGGAAAGGGCCCCAAGAACAGGCAAAAGAGUCAGAGACACCCAACACUCCCACUGUUAGAACUCCCAUAAGAACACCAAGUACUUCUGCUACCAUCCUUAUACCAGUAUUUUCAAGUGAAUUCAGUUAAAAAAAAAAAAAGCCCAAUAUUCACAUAGUGAUUUUGAUCAAUGGGAAAGGACACUAAUUCCAUUUCAUAAAGGUAAGAUAAUUACCAUUUCAUAAAGGUAAGUAUAGAGAGUUUAAAACAUUUAACACACUUCCUGAUCUCCAAGAACAAAAUAUACAUUAGUAAAGAAAUAUAUUAAUUAGCUGUAAAAAUACAAAAUACAAACAAAUUAAGGUGAAAAGACAUCUAUGUGACUUCGAUUUUGACAAUGAUAAAUUCACAUAUUGACCAUUUCACUCAAUAUUAGAAUGAUUUAGCUCACAAUUUUCAGUAAAUGGAAUUGAGUGAUUCUUUCUAUGGCCAAAUAAAUAGUAAAGACAUUUUUGGGUGUGCAGGGAGCCAAGCUUUUAUCCAAUAUAUCAAAGGUGCAUAUUUGUGCAUAAUUUUGUAUCUGAUACAUAUUCAUUUAUGCAAAUGUGCACUUUAUCUUCCAAUAUAACUAGCUCCAGACAUGUGGACUAGAAUGUUCCAAUUAGGUUGACUUAGCACAGUUGCUCCAAAGCCAGAAGCAAGAGGCCACAAGAGACAGGCAGCAGGAGAAGCUCCAAGAGAUCCAACCAGUGCUCUUGGGCUAGUCAUAAAGUUCUUCCCAAAAUCUUGGACAAUUUGUUCAGAGAUUCCAAUGUUAUAUCUGGAAGAAAUUGCAACUAUCAGCCUUGAUGCAGUCAGGAUUCAGCAUUCAGAGGUUGAAUGGAGCAAGAAGACCUCAGGCACCUGUAGUGGGACACAUAGGAUUAUCUAAGAUACUAUUCAACUUUUGUUUUUUCUAUUUCUGCAUCUAUAAUAUUCCCUAUUCAUUUAUUCCAGAUGAGGCCUCAGGCUGAGACCCAGUCUUCAAGAAGUUAGUUAUAUAGGAUUGGGGAAUAUAUAGUUAUAAUUCAGUGUAGCAAAUCUGAAGCUGCACUAAUCCUAAGGUGCUAUAUAUAGCUGUUAGCAACACACCACACAACCUUAGAAUAUCUAAAGGGUCUUGAUGCCAAAGGGCAUUUAUUAUUAUUAUUUAUUAUUAACAAAAGGGAGAAUUCAUACAUGAAAGCAGCAACAGCAGGAUGUGCUUAACCUCACAGGAGGCAGAAGACAGGACGUGACCAUUCAGUAGGGCUUCAAUGGUCUAGCUGUAGUACAGAAGGAAGUCAGCAGUGAGAAGGAAGGGCGCUCCAUUGAAGGAUGGGUACCUUCCUCAAGGAAGGGUACCUCAGAAGAGAAGAUGGACUCCUCUGAGAACCAUGAAACCUCAGAGGAGACACAGCUGGGAGCUUGUGAAUUCAGUGGGGAUGCUCAGAUCCAAUGCUCAGUGAUCAAAGAAAGAAUAACUUGGGGUGAUUAACUAUUCAGAGAAACAUCUGCAUAUUAAGUAAGUAUAUUUGCAUAUUCUUAUUUCCUACAUCUGCAGAGAAAGACUUGGGAGAUUUCUGGUUUGUCAUUGCAAGGGUAAGGCAGAGAAAAAUUGUAAUGCCAAGAGCAAAACAUGGGGCUGUGAGUAGCUCCAGGUCUGGAGCAAACUGCAGAAACCUUGUCAGUGAACGCUAGAGAUGUGUUGCUAAUCAGCCACAGGGCAUGGCUUUUCACAACAAAUCUCCCCAAGAAAAAAUAUCUAAAAGGACUUAGAAUAGAACUUUCCCUUUUCUCUUUGUGGCGUUCAUAGUGUGAGAGGUCCAAGGUUAUGGUUGUGUGCACAUAAUCCUGAGAUGCAACUGAGUUAAAUUUUUGUUCCUUUGUUUUACACACUCAACAUCACUUUCAUUAACAAUGAACAUGAGGAAAUUUUUUUAAAAUCAUGAUUCCAGGACUCAAAUAUAUUCUCCCAAACUCUUAAGAUUUGGGAAAGGGCUUUAGAGUUAUAGGUCUGUGAAAAUCAGAAUGUCUCUGUGAUAAUGAAAUAUUCAUUCUUUAACUAUUUUCUUCCUUUUUCUAAAAUUGAAAAAUGAAGCCAUUUUAUUGCUUCAACAUAUGACCAAAACUUUUUCUUGAUAAGGAUUUAUGUGUAUUCAUUUUCAUUUUUAGUUCUUUCUUGGUUGAUAUCUGAAAUUUCAGAAAAAUAAUAUAUAAGUUAUAAGUGUAACAGAGCCAGAACAAACACUAGCAUUAAAAAAAAAAAUUUCAAAGAGGAGGAAAGUGCUCGAGGUUGAAAAUUAUUCCAUGCUAAAUUGAAGCAUUAAGGUUAGGGAAGAAAUAACAACAGCAACACGUCUCUGCGGCUUUAUCAUUUAGAUGUAUGGUCUCCUGUUCUGGUGAGCUGCCAGAGGGUCAGAUUCUGAAAGCUACCAAGUUAUUUCAUCAUGUAUUCUUCAAAUGACCUAGAAGCUUCAGAAUUUACAUCAGCCAAUAUAAAUCUGCUGUUUAUAAGUCUGAAUUUAUUUAAAUCCAGCAUGCUCCAAAAGCAUGUAUAUCAUGGCACAUAAAUCAUAGAAUUGAAAUUUUUAACUCAAUCUUUGAGACUUAUUUGUAGACUAACUAGAGUAAUAGCAUUAGUCUUAAGUCUUUACCAUAUUGAUACAAUUAAACGCUGUAACACUCACUGAUAUGUUUGUGUCUGAUAGUAUGUCAGUAUUUGUGAAGUAUGGAUGAAUGCCCACUGAAAGAGUGUAUGGCAGUAAUGUCACUGUGCACAAAGGUUUAGAAAGAAAAUCAGAACAAAGAGACCAGACUGUCAGAAGCAUCCUUUGUGCACACAAACUCCUCUGUGCCCACAAGCUCCUUUGUGCACAUAAUCUCCUUCCCUGUUUAUUUGGACAUUUGGUUAUUCUCACUUACUCUCUCCCAUCAUUAGCAAAUUACAUUCUUUUCUGAUUGCCUCUUAAAUUUUUCCUCUUUAUGUUUCUCUCAUCUUUUUCCCACAUGUGAAAAAAAUGCUAAACUACCUUGGGAAAUAAUUUUUGCCAUGAGGCAUAGCAAUAUAGUUAAUAUAUAUCAUUUUAAUCACUAAACUAUAGACUAUAUUAUAUCUACUAUGAAUAAAUGGGCACAGCUGCUUUUUGAAUACUGACUAAGUCACAAUAAAAUUUUAAGUUUGAGGGUUACAGGAUAAGGACAUUAAGACCCAGCAGAAAAUAAAACAACUGAAUUAUAUUUUUAUCUUAUUACUUUAACUGAUUGUCCAACUUUGGACAAAAUAUUAAAGCAUGUUAGUUUGAUUUCAUCUUUUCAUUAAAAAAUAAUGGAGCCAUUUUGUGGUAUUGCCAACACCUGAGAUUCUGAUAUGUUCCUUUGAUAUUAAUUGAUGCAUCCCUGGAAGAAUGGAAGAGAGCCCAGCAGGUAACAAGAUGAAGCCUUAAGACCACUAGACCACUGUUCAGCUUCAUGGUGAUUUAGGUUUUGGUUUGUUGCUGUUGUUUGUUGGUUGGUUUGUUUGUCCGUUUAAUUUUGCUUGGUGACUUCUUAGAGAAAGUAAACCUGAUAAUUUACUUCUUUGGUGCAUUGCUAGCAAACUUAAGCAGCCUGUUUGUUGUCUAGUACUAAUGCCUGUAAACAACAAGAAAAACAAAGGAGAAAUAGAUUUCAGAGUAAUAUGGUUAGGACAGCUGUCAGCAUAGUGAAAGAUGACAUGACAGAGGCAGAAUUUAUAGUCAUGUGAACAGAGGACAAACCCUACUCUGUCCCCUCCUAACUCUAGAGUACUCAGGAAACCAGUGUUUCUCUCAAGGCUCAGUCUUCUUUUAUAAGAUCCUGAAGGUAGUUGUGCUCUUCCGAGAGACUUCUUGAAAAUUCAACUGCAAAAUUUACAAAAACCAUAGAGUUACUAUCUUACAUCUGAGUAUGAAGACCCCUGUAAUCUGCCUGAAUCCCAGGCAGUGAGGCACAGGCUUCUGCACACAGGAUCUGUGACAGGUCACCCCAGCUUUCUAGCCACAUCCUUCCAUUUGCUGUUAUGGAACCAAUGAAUCCUGUGAAAAUUUAUUUAACUGUGAUGUGGGGACUAUGGGGGUUAUUUACCUGAGUUCAUACACAAAACGACUUAGUGUGUAUGGGUAUUAACACCACUUAUAUUGACUAAUUACCAGUUAGUGAAAUAAAAAUACAUACAUUCCUGAAAAGCAAUAACUUCCUCCAUCCAAUGAAUGGAUACAGUUGAACCUUCACAGCUUUAGAAAGCAGAUCACAUGCUUCACAGGGGGGGCAGGGGGGGUUGGAACUGAACCUUAAAAGUCUGAUUUUAGGACUGUGGUUACCUUCAUUGUAACUCACUGUCUCCAAGGAAAUUGAAAAAGGAACCUAAUUAAUUCUUACAAAUUGCUAACUCUGUCGACAUUUGUGAAGAUGAAGGUUGAAGGAAAGAAGACAGGACUGCAGAGUGAGAGAAGGAGUUGAAUCAUCCAAAUGGGUGCAGGUGCUGCCAGAAUGGCUGACGCUGAAAAAAAAAUGUGGAAAGAGAGAAAAUGAGGGUUUUCUGUAGAUAAAGAAAACAAUCACAAUAAAUAAUCCUCAGGAAUCACACAGCACUCAAAACAGCUUUGUUCACAUCUCUCCCGAAAUGAGAGCCUUUGUGUAAUGGCGAGCAUAACAGGGCGAACCUCAGCACCCUGUGGUCUGCUGCCACCACACAGUGAAUUUAACAGCAGUGCACAAAAAUUAAAAUAAAAUGAAAACUUCAGAAAAAUGCCUAGUGAGCCAGGAAUAUAAAACAGUUGUGGAUUUCAUAGGUAGAAUGAAAGAUGACAGUUCUACCUAACACGUUUAGAGUGGGUUGUUUUAAAUGUGUUGAUUUGUGCCGAUAGCGGUAAGGCAUUGAUUGUCUGUUUACUUGGAAGUGGUUUGGUGGCAAUUGUAAAACAGAAUAGAGUCUGUUUGCCCUCAAGUAGUGCAAAGUUAGGGAUACUAUUUUGGAUACAAUUUCUAGGUCAUUAAGUAAUACAACAGGAUCUACCAACAUUACACAAGUAGUUUUUCUGCCAUAAUCAUACUUUGUCUAAAAAAAAUGGGAGUACUCUGCACCCUAAGAAAUGUUAGGAGGGUCCUUGCACAUAGCAUGUCCUUGUAGCCCCCCUCCAUGGCAGGCAGGUGAGAAGCCAUUGAUAAUUGGUUCAUAAAUGCCUCAUUCAUUGAUGUCACUUCCUCUCUGUAAGAAUAUUGCCUUUACAGCUCUGUUUCUCUCUGCUGAUGAGAAAGGACUUUGGAACUCUGUACCAUUCACCUGCAGACCCCAUCUUUACUAAAGUGGCCCAUAAAUGUCUCUGUCCAGCCAGACAGGAAAGAGAAUCAUAGACAUGAGUGUUUACUACUCAGUCUGUGUCGCACUGAGGAAGGAGUGUUUGUAGUCAUGUAACACUAAGAUGGCAUGUUGCCCUUCAGAAUCUUGUUCCAGCCCUUUAUUUUUAUUUCUUUGUGUGUGUUUGUUCCAUGAACUCUUAUUAUUCUUAAGAUGUUCAUACUAUUUUCCACAAACAAUUAUAUAGUCACUAAAAUAAUGAAAUAUAUAGUUUAGAAUAGUUUUAUGAAUUACAAAUCAGUAAGAAAAACACAAAAAGGCCCACAACAAGGCAAUGACAAAUUAUAGAUUUAUAUGUAUGUAAAAUAUGUAUAAUUUUGCAUGUAAGCCUGUGCUAUCUGGUGGGCAAUAGAAAAUACUUUCUACUUUUAUGAGCCUAGAGUUCUUUGAUUGUAGCCAGGUCAUGGACAAAAGGAUCAAAGGCCAAAUAGAUAUUUGUAGGGAGGCCUUGAAUUGACAAAAAAAAAAAAAUUAUUGGAUAAAGAAAACAUCCAAACAUGAGUGUCAUUAAGCAUUUGUUACCUAUAAUAAUUUUUUAUGUUUUUUUUCUUUUUUAAACUUUUUAUUAGAAGUUUUCUUCAUUUACAUUUUAAAUGCUCUCCUCUUUCCUAGUUUCUGCUCCAAAAGUCCCCUAUACCCUGCCCCGCCCUGCUCCCCAACCCACCCACUCCCACUUCCUGGCCCUGGCAUUCCCCUCUACUGAGGCAUAUAAUCUUCACAAGACCAAGGGUCUCUCCUCCCAUUGAUGGCCUCCAGCCCUUGAUUUACAUCCUUACUACCAAGGCCAUGUGCUCUGUCAUGGCUGCAGGAUGUUUGACUCUCAGAUUAACUAAGAAGCUGAGCAGAAGUGGUGGAGGCUACUUCCAGGCAGGACUCUUUAUCACUUCCUGUGAGCUGUGCAUUGCUUGCUUCCCAUUCCUUAUCGCAGGGACAGUGACAUCAGCCAUGAACAUGAGUACUAUAUGCUGAAGGCUGCACUGGACUACCAUCAAGGCCCUGGGUGAACAGAAAAGAGGAGAUUUCUACUUCUCCCCACCCAUUCUGGUUAUCACCCUUUGCUGACAUAAAGUAUUCUUGAUUUUGAGAUGAGCAAGCAUUAAACUCUUGCCAACUGAUAUAUGCUUGCAUCUCUCUUUGCUAAAUGUAGCCUCUUCCAACUACUACAAUGGAGAAUACAGGCAGGAACACCCUGGAUAAAAUAUAACUCAUGUGCUUUUGUCCCUACUUCAAAUGUUUUGCCUACAAGAAACCAUAAAAGCUGUCAUAGAGGAGUACAGGCUCCUCUGCUGCCCUGGAGCUGCAGAACCAACUGAAUUUCUGUUUGCAGAUCUUGUGAGUUAUGGGAGCCUUUGAAGUCAAGUAUGAUUUCUUUCAAAACAUUAUUGAAUUCAAAAUAGCAUCCGACCAUCAGCCUCUGAGAUGAACUUUCCUGACAAAAUAAAAGAAAACACAGAGGACAGAGCACUGUUUGCUCAACCCCAAAUCACACGGAUCCAGAAUCCAGAAGGAGUUUAGACAAACUAUAGAAGGCUUAAGAGUUUAACUGAAAAACACCCACUCAGAUUUACACUUGGAAGGAAGCCCUGCUUCUGCCAAAGACAUAAGAUGUCACUUUCCUUUUCUUUUGCCUAAGAAACUUCCAGAAUGUACCAAAGAGGUAACUAGACCAUUUCUCCAUGUGAGACCUCAGCCUAUAAAGGCAGCCCAGCUUUUUUUUUGACUCCUUUAUCAACAGGCUGUUUGUGUUCUCUGGAAAAUGUUUUCCAUAGGCUGACAAUUGUGACUUUCCCUUGGUUCCAUCAUUGGGAACACAGAUAAGAAACUGAGUUGGUCCUGUAGAUUCUGUUUAUUUAGUCCAAUGAGUCACAGGAAAGGAUAGGCCAUAGACUUAUUUGAUACUUGGGCCUGGAAAACACAUCUAACCAGCUAUAGGAAUAACAAGGAUGACAUAUUUAUAAACUGUAGACCUGAACACAUUUGAGUUCAAAUUAGAACUAUGCAAAGGCAGGGACAAGGAAAACAAAUGCCCCCACAUGCCAAACAAUGAAAGGGUGAAGGUCUUAAAGCUUAGAAGUAUCAGGCAGGAUUGACUGCAGCAAAAGGAAGGAAUUUAGAAUUAUUUUUUUAAAAGUUAGCAUUAACUCCUGCCACAACCCAUGCUGAACACAUAGAUAACACACUCAUGGUGUUAAACACAUAAAACUUCUGGGGACUGGAUUGGGUGAGUGCCAUGCCUCUCACAGUAUAGCAUACAAACUGGGAGAAGAAGUGUCCUUUAAGUGCUAUUCUGUGUAGGGGCUGGACACUCUGUGGAAAUACAGAUUUCGGUGUCAACAUGUCAAUCUUGAGAGACUGGAGACAAAGCAUUGGCUCUUUAUAGUAAGAAAGAUAACACUAGCCACUCUGUCAUGAAGCCAGGAAACCAAAAGGUGAUACAUAUGAAUGGAAAAAUAGGGUAAAAAUCAUGUCACCCAUUCCAACCUUGGCAUGUAAUGCUGAGAGAAGAGAGGUUGAGUUCGGAAAGAACCCUGUUCUGAAGGUUCCCUAUAGUGAAGCUCACUUGGGCUGGAUUUACGCCAUCUGCAGGGUAUAAAGAUGCCAAGUGAUGGUUAGGAUGAAUGAUGUUUCAAAGAACUUGGUCCCUAGAUGUUUGGCAGAAUGAAAAACCACCAUGUUUUAUACACUACACUCUAGAGCAUGCUUCAAAACUCUUGUAUAGAUAUAAUUCAACAACCAUGAAUUCUUAAUUAAAAGCUUCAUGCAUGAGAGAGAAAGCACACCAACUUCAGAGAGGCAAGAAAGCCUACAACCGUGGGGUCAGGGAGACAGACACUAGAAAUGCCCAAAUAGAAAAGGGAACAGGCAGAUGGUGGGAGGUGGGAGCACCUUUGUUGCCUAGCUAUGCUGACAGAGGAGCACACAGGAACAGGAUUGUAAAUAUAUUAGCUUUUCAUAUCAGAAAAGUCAAAGAACUAUAGAUAACAACCAAUUAUCUAUCUUCUAAGGUCUAAACCAAAGCCUGUGGAGACUUUCCCCUUUGAUAAUUUAAGUCCCUGUGACUGAACCAGCCAUGACACUGGAUAAAAUUACCAAAAUAUAUGAAAAUACAUCACAGUAAUGCAAUUCAAACAAACUACACAUUGUGCUCUGAAAUUGCCCAGCAUGAACCUCUCCAAGAUGGCACAGUUCAGACCUGGGUGUUGUCUUUCUCCUCAGAAUGCCCAUUGAAGGCUUGAGACCUAAGCACUCAUUCUGAUGAAAGUGAAGGAUAUGGAGAGCAGGGGACAGUCAUGGAUACUUACAGAGAUCCAUUUCCGCAAAACCAUGCACCCCCAAACCCUGUCCCAGAAUGUAGCACUCAUGGCAACCACAACUGCUCCCAUGGUGGGAGAAGAGGUGUAAUUCAUCUUGUCUCAAACAGCUGUUCAGGACUGAAUCACACAAAGAGAACAGGAGAUAUGCACACUGCAGAUCCAUCUGUUUCAAAAUGAAAAGUAGAUUGUUAACUAGGCCUCAGCCAGCAUGUUGGUACCAACAAGGUAGGAAAAUCACGCUCACAUUGAUGUCAUCCUAGGAGUUGAACAUUGGCUUUUGUUAUAAAUCGAAAGACAAUGUAUUGGAGAUUUUAACAGAUUCAGUGGGAAAAAAAAUGGUGAAGUUCCAUUCACAAUAAACUAGUGAAAUAUAAACAGAAAGAAAUUUAACCUGGUAAGAGACACAUUCAAAAGAGUUACAUCAAAUAUGUAGUGAAGAAAACAAAGAGUUGUUGUUCCUCAUUAUAGAGUCAGAAUUCCAGUGGAAUUUCUCAGAAAAAAAAAAAAAAGACAAGUAAAGGCAAGAAGACAUUGCUUUGUAAUUCUAAUGUAGCAGCACUGAUAUGAAGGGCAUUUGGGGGAUGAUUAUGUCAUGAGAACACCCACCCCCUCCCUACACAGUGAGUAUAUCCAAAUCUUUUGCAGAAUAAAUAAAAACUUAUUGAAAAUGAACAAAGCAAGCUACCGUUAUAAAUUAAAAUCUUCAUGCUAAAAUAAACAAUUGUCGAAAUUAUCUGCAAAUUAAACACUCUGAAUAAAGGUCUCAGCGAGUAUUUGUUAAGCUUGACCAACUGCCUUUAAAAGUAACACGGACAAGAAAGCUGUGGAGCGAAGCCAGGGACAGCCUCGAAACCAUCUGACUUUCUGCAUUGCUAGAAGGCACAUUUAAGUGAAGCAUAGAACAGGGAGAAGAGUGAGGCACAGGGGCUGGAGCCAGGGAUCCAUUGGCAGAAUCCUUGGCUGAAGGAUCCCACACACAGUAUAAACUGCACUUGAUGGUAAAAGCCUAGAAUCUCAGCACUUCGGAGGGGAGGGAAGGAAGAUCUAAAGUUCAAAGUCACCCUUGGCUACCUCACAUUUUGAGACCAUGCUGGGCUGUAUGAACCCCUGUUUCAAAAAUAGUCAAAACGAAACAAAAGCCUAGCAGGUGGGAAUUUCCACAGAAACUUAAGUUGGUGUUGGCUUAAUUUCCGACCCCUUCACACAAUUCGCAGUACUUACUACAUACCCUCUGGGCACUGCACCCAUCCUAGUCAACUUCUAAGAUGGCUCCCUUGAGAGACAGAGUCCCUUACUGGUGUGAACCUUUACUCUUUGUCUUUCAGCGUCCCCUCAGCUUGUUCUUCUUCAUGUAGAGUCCAGCCUGUCAUGGCGUUCUAGACCUUUGCCCUUACCAGGCUUCAAAAAAGUUCCUUUGGCUAAAUAAUCCACUUUGGGCAUUACCAUGUUGUACUGUGUCUUCAUAACUGUGCACUUCCCCUUGUACUGUGCCCCCAGCACUGUGUAUUUCUCUGUUGUACUUUGCCCUCAGCACUGUGCACUUCCUCGUUGUACAGUGCCUCCAGCAUUGUGCACAACACUCACUAAGUAACUCUCCAGUAGAAAUAUGGAAACCACAGGCCAAAAAGGCUCAUUCCUGGCAGUUGGUUCAGAGGGGAAUAAACCUGCCAUGCAAGCACAGUGUGUACUCAACACUGAGCCCUUUGAUGUGGCCAUUGUAUAAGACUUGCUGUGAGUAGACUGACAGCCAGUGAGUGAGGGUUGUUAUUAAAUGUGUUGAUUCUCAGUCACUCAGAAGGUGUUCACGUGUGGCAUUUAACACAUUUGAAUAAACCCUUCACUACUUCCUGCAUUAUACUCAUUUCAUUAUAGAAUAAAUCACAUUCUUGCCACACCAUGUAAUUGACAAAUGAAAUUCAUGCUGGGUUUCAGAGUGAUAUACUAAAGAGGAAAGCCUUCAGUGUGAGGGUUUAUUUUUGCCAAUGUCACAGCCCCUCUGUGUUUCAGGUACAUAUACAAAAAUCAUCUGGCUUAAAGUUCCCCUUAUCUACUCCUAAUUAUAUUCAAGUGGAUAUAAAUAACCGGUUCCUUGUCUUUCUUUAUAGUGUAAAUGUAAUAAUGCAUACGUUUUCCUCACUUGUUAACGUAAACUGUUUUAGAAGUGUGUGCAUAAUUUUAUUACUGAGCUUUAUAAGUCAACUAUCCUGCCCAUGUUUGCACUCUAUGAGAAGUGUCUGUUAGAAUUCCACCCAUGUCGAAACAGAAGUUUCCAGGGUGAUUUUCAAGUUGACUUAAAUAGAUUUAAAGCUAUAAUUCAAUUUCCCAUUGCCUGUGAGUCACAUUAGCAUUUUCUAUUACAUUUGAUAAGGCAAGUGUUGAUUUCUUCUUGAUACGCCUUCUUUCUUCACAUCUCUAGUCUCCAACUAACAAGAUGUUAAUGUCACAGGAUACAAGACUGCACACUACAAGAGCCUCACUGGCUUUGCAGACUACCAGGCGACUGUAAGGACUUCAUUAAAUAUCAAUGUCAGUGUAGUCCAGCCAAAACAAGGAAGGAUGAGACAUACACUCCAUGAAACAGCCUUUUACUUUUAAUUUAUGUUAAAUUGUCAAAUCUUAAUGAAUAGAAAAUGUGAACUCCCAAAUAGGAUCCUUUGAAAAUACCCUUGUUUGCAGAUAUUUCUUUUUUAAAUUAUAGUAAAGGUGUGUUCCCAUGCGGCUAUAAAUUAAAUACUGUGACUUCACACCAGCAUCUAGUAGUCACUCUGUGAGUGAAGAGCAAACACCAAAUAAAGUCAGCCACGCAGCAAAACCUAAAGUUCAAUACCAUUAAUUUAAUUAUAGAACAUAAUCACUUGACAGUGCAAUGGGUUGGAUUUAAAAGAUGAUAUUGAAAUUGAUUGCUAAUCAUUGAAAGGUGUGUGGUAAGCAUGAGGCUACCCUGUGAUGGAAGGCUAUCUGUCUAUCUGAACCCAGGGACUAUCAGCAAUGCAUCAUGGGGUGCCGGGAGCUUGGGCAUGUGUGACAGUCACCAGCAACACAGGGGAUGCUCAUGGCACACAAGCCCUUCACUGGAUGAAUAUUUGCAGUGGACUCUGCAGUGGGAACUGCAUCUCCAAUCUCACAAGUGAAGGGAAUGAAGUUCUGAGAGUUAGGAGUAACUGUGUAGGUCAGACCAGGUUAAAGAGUAGGUACUGUGUGUGGACAGAAAGGCUAAGCCUUGAGCUAAUCCUGCCUCACUGAAGGAAAGAUGGAAAUGCAAACUUCCCUAAACUUGACCCUCUAGGUGUCUUGCAGUCCUGAUGUUUAUCACCAGCAUGGACUGGCUGAGAAGAUCCUCUUUCCAGAAGGAUUUUCACAAGUCUCUUUUUCUUCCUCGGGACAAACAGGAUGGGUCAAAAAAGUAAAAUAUCUCAGGGUUUUGUAUGUGUUGUCAGACAUCUAGCAUGGCAGGGGAAGGAACAGCCAGUUUCACCAGCUGGCACCUAGAGGGACCUGCUGAGAGCAGGGAGGGUUGCUGCUCACACUGAGAUCAGUGAGUUGUCCUACUUUCCUCCUGCCUGCUGGCCAUCUCCUCCUUGUAUUGUUACUGUUUCCCUGAGCAUAGCUCACUGGUGCUCUGGGCUUAGAGAAACAAAAGAGGAAGAGUCAAGGCCAAGUUUCAAAAAUCAGAUGCCAGUAGUAUUUAUUUGAGAUAAGACUUAAGGACAUUUAUUACCUGUAUUUUCAUAAUUAGAAAACAAAACUUUUAAAACCUAAAACACUUUUUGCUAUAAUACAUUUUUUCUGCUUGUAAUGACCUGUGGUAUGUGCUGGAGACAUUUUUGGUAGCUUGGGACACUUAUCUCAAGUAAAAAAAAAGAAGAAUCAUUAUAAUUUAGUCCUGACAAAGCAAUUUCAUACACACACAUUAACCUAUUUUAAUUCUCACAAAGCCACUUCGUUGUAAGCGAUCUUUUCCUGUUUUAUGAAUAGAAGAGUUUGACUCUAUAAAGGCUUAGCAUCAUUCUAAAUGGUCCAGCUGUUAGCCUCAGUGCUGAGACUAGAAAAUAUUCCAGGGAACAAGAACCCACGUCCCUCGUUCUACAAACUGCAUUCAAAUCAAGACCAAAUGGUGCUGUGAGUGGGUUCGUUGUAUAUGAGCUGGUUUCCUAGUAGUGAACAUUAGUUUUCUUUCACUAAUUUUUAAAACUGCAAUCCAAGUUUAAAGAAAAGGCUUUGCACCUCUGUUCUAGCUGGCUGGCCUGGUGUUGAAUUCAAGUUCUUUGCAAUGUUCAGGACAAAGGAUACAUUUCCUUUAAGGGAUUCCUGGGCCUGGAAUUCCAGAAAUUUAUAUGCAAAUUGGGUGAUGGGAUAGGUGUCCCCCUGUAACUGGGCUCUAACAUUUAAUUUUACCUAAAGAUUUCGAAGUUGAGUGUUCCCAUGUGUUAACUGGAUGGACUAGGUCCCACUUUCUCUUUAACACAGGUGCAUGAAAACAUGUAAAUGAGCACGCUGCACAGAUGUACGCGCGCAUGUGCACUGCCUAGCUUUCCUGGACUUAGCUUGGCUCAGUUGUUAGGUUCAUGGUGGAAGCCAAGAAAACUUACUUCAGAGACAGAAGCUUAAACACGAAAGCUUUACUUUCUGUGCUUGCAGGGAGAAGGUCAAUUUGGGAUCUGAACUGCAUCCCUGAAGAGAGAUUGUACAAUAUUUUUAUAAGAUGAGAACACAAUUCGAGAAGGAAUUGGAUGGGUUGUCACAUUGGCCAAUCAUAUUUUAACAGAAGGGGUUAAGCAAGGAAGUUAACUUGGUGACUGGGCCUCAUCUGGGUCAUCUGGUUUCAGGGUUCUUGAGUCAGCUUUUGAAGCCAGGUCCUUUCUUGGACUGUGACCUGCAAUCUAGAAUUGUAAGGGAACAAAGAAGUGGGCAAGCUUCCUGUAGUCAAUUAAGUCAAGACAGGCAACACAUUCAUGACUUGUGUGCCUUAGUUUAGGAACAGGAUUACAGCAACUCCCUUCUUUACAUCCUUUAUUGGGUAACAAACAUGAAAUGUCUGAAGAAGAAGGAUAGGAAUUGGGUUCUGGGGUCUAGGAACAUGAGCUCAGUUUUUACCCUGUCAGCAUGCUACUUGUUUCUGAGCUGGCUGGACUCAGGAAACUUCUCCUAACCUAGUGAAUUAAGAUUGUUACAUUAUAGGUAGGAUGACUAAGAACUCAAAACAAAAACAUUUACAAAAUGCUUAUGUUGUAUUUGUUGAAAGCAAAUAAUGUCAUGUCUAUUGGUAUCAUUCUGGUUCAGGUCUUAUUUGGACAGCCAUGUUGUUAAGGUGACAAGCGGUAUAUACCACCCAGGAAAGAACCCUGUGUGCCUGGCUUACUCAAGUCAACACUACCUGCACAUUGGUUUAUGACCCACGGUUACAGUGUGAUAUGUAUUUUGGACCUUGGUGCUAAGCACAGUGGAAACAUCACAAACUUCAGAGUCAAGGACCAAGUAGGCACUUGUUGACAUAUGAGGGUAAUGCAUGUAAGUGUUACAGCCUCUCUCUGUGAAAACAUAGAAUCUGUUUAUCAACUAGCCCAAGGAUAUUGUGAAAAUCUUACCACAAAGAAGUAUUCAACUAAACAGAAAACAGAAACAAAAUUCCCUUCAAAAUGAAAACUGAAAAACAAGUUCAGAGUAGUUAAAUGGAUUUUAAAGUCCUUCUUGGAGCACCAGGAGGUUACCAGGCUAAGAAUUCAAUCUAAGAGCUGAAUAGUGUAGCAAGCAGGAGGAAGAUAGUAAAAAUCCUGGUCUCUCUUCUUCUCUACUCAACAUCAACAGCCCCCUCCUUCAGGCAGCUUUCACUUUGCUCUGGGAACAUCCAGCCUUCAGUAUUCAUCCUCCAAGGAAGAAAGCGAAGCCUUUCUCCUGCCACGUAAGGAUCCCUUGUCCUCACGUGUGGAAGAAAGAGCAAGCAGGAAUAGGCCACCAACAUGAACCUGUGGUUGGUGUACUGAGCUCUACGAAAUAUCCAGAAGAAACACCCAAAUCCUCCUGUCAGAGAGGAAUGAUUGGCUAAACCCAGUGAAAAGAUGAAUUGAACUGUUUAUACCUAUGAUGCAACUUAAAUAUGUAUAAAUAAGUAAAGUAGUAAAUAAAUGAAAGCUAAACUUAAAAACUCAGCAAUAGCUAGAUGAUAGAUAGAUAGAUAGAUAGAUAGAUAGAUAGAUAGAUAGAUGAUAGAUAGAUAGAUAGAUAGAUAGAUAGAUAGAUAGAUACAUAGAUAGAUACAUACAUACAUACAUACAUACAUAUAUACAUACAUACAUAUAUAGAUGCAUAGAUAGAUAUAUACAUAGAUAGAUGGAUGGAUGCAUAGAUAGAUACAUGUAUACAUAGAUAGAUACAUUGAAUAAGCAAAGCAUUGAAAGUGACCUAGUUGCUUGGUCAUAACCCACUGCAACCUCCUUAGAGACUAAAUGUAUAUAAGCAUAAUGAAAAGAAGUAAAACCAUUUGUGUCUGAGCCUAACCACCAUUUCCAUGACCACAAAGCAGAUGCUCAUUCCUUUCAGUCUGACCUUACAUCAUAGGUGCCACUAAGAUAAUAAGGUAAAGAAUUGCUCUAGUGAAUAUAAAGAAAGUUAAGCAGGGUAGUUUAGUUUGGGUGUCACAAUCUCAGUCAAUGCAUGAUACUAACUUUCAAUGCAAGUAAAAGUUUUUGUGAGAUUUCUGUCAAAGGAUAUACUCUCAAAACACAUUACUACUCCAAGAUGAAGCUACUAUGAACAAAAUAUUAAAUAAUAGAGCGCUUUAUUUCAGAUCUUUUGAGUAGUUUUCUGGACUCCCUAAUUGGAUUUAGACAGCUAUCUCUCCGUCCCAGUCUUGGAUACAUAAACCACAACUCUGAUGACUUAAUUCCAUCGUGACCUCUGAUUAUCAAGUCACCAAUUAGCAAUUCUAAUUUUCCCAUCUAGGUUCUAUAGCAGUUACACAGAAGUAUGUAAUUUAUCAUGGAGCUUGACAAACUGGCUUCAACUGUUGUCCUAGCCAUUCACAAUGUAUUACUCAAAACAUUCAGAACACACUUUUCAGCUGGCUUGUAAGGGUCACAUCAGAAACUAGCCCCUCUAACCCAGCAGAAAAAGCCCUCAUGGAAUGCUUUCUGCAUCUUUGGAGUCUGUUAAACCUCUAUUUAUCUAGCACGUGACUCAACUAGUGGAAGCUUUCCACUGAAGAGCCCACACUCAUUCCCUUUGCCUGUGGAAUUCAUGUAUGGCCAGGCAUUAUAACAAAUAGUCUGCUAUAGAAAGGUACUAUGUGGUAAUCCUAAAAGUGCUAGUUAGGGAUCAAGUAUUUCUUAACACCUGCAGACAGCUGCCUGCAGAAUACUGCAAAUGGAUUUGUUAAAUAUGAGGUCAGGAGGUAUUUUUUUAUAUAGGCUCCUAUAAUUGGGAGGUGAUGGAACAGCCCCAGAAGCAAACUAAAAAUCUCAUAAUGCAAUGUAGUACACAGUUUAACACUAGAAAUCAUUCAAAGUUAUGUUUUAAAGAAAGACAAAGUGCAAAGGUUGUACAUCCCUCCUGAGGAAUGUCUUCUGGUGAGUCAGACUUAAGAUAUAACACCCAGGCUAUCAAUUUUUAAAAUAAAUUUGCAUAAUAAAAGAAGACAUUGGAACUCUGACUUCUAUGUUGGUAGAUUUGGGAUCAGUUCCAAAAAAUUGCACUUUGGGCAUGGACUAUUCACCUGGAGUUGAUAGUCAUGAAUGUGAGAGUCCAGAAUGUCUUUCUGAAGAAAAUCUCCCAUCGUUCAUUUGGGACAGAGUUUGUACAUUACAUUUCAUUGCUGCUUGGAACCCUACACUUAGGAUUCUAAAAGGACCAGCUGUUUCUAUCUCCAUGGUAGGUCUUCUUUUCUAUUCUUUAUGAUUGGAGUUAAGACAAAUGAAUCGCCCUUGAGGAGAUUUCUCAGCAUGUGACUCUAUAAAGGAAUUAUUUUGGUUUAAGAACAAUGAUUUGAAUGCAAAUGAAUAUUCUUAAAAGUAGUGUUGGAAACCCUAAAAUUGUUUUCAGUGUGUUCAGAAUAGAAAACUGGUAUAAAAGAUAGAGCUGUUACAAUGUCCCUGAGUGAGGGGUCUCUGGUGGACUCAUUUGUUUGUUUUCUUAGAGAGCCAGUGUUACUGUUUCGUGGAGAUAUAACAUGACAAGAAAUGAGACCAGCUCCUCCGCUGUUGAAUCAUUGAGGACAAAACUUCCUCCAAUUCACUGUUUUAUCUGAAACACUCAGGACAGAAGAUCAACUAAAUAAGUACAUUCAAUAGCUUCAAAUGGCAACCUUGUGUAGGAAUUUGAACUCUCAAAGGCACCAGGCAUCCAGCUCAUAGACAUUCUAAAGUAAAACAGCGUCUGACAAGGCUGUGCAUGGAGUUGGAGCUCUUGUAAAACACAUUCCAAGGGGCACGAUUCAAUCACUCAGAGGAAGCUGUUAGAAAAACAAAGAUUUAAAAAAUGAUGUGACCGUCUCCAAAUAAAUAAGUUUUUUUUUUUCUAUGAGAAACAAAGGCUAAGUAUCUGUUCUGGUCCAAAGAAAAGUUAGGACCUAGAGCAUAAGACUAAUGAACAAUGGAUUUCAACGUAAGAGAAAAAAAAAAUUGAUGUGUCCCACACUAAAGCAAGCUAAACUCCAGGGCUGAGGACAACUGGGCUAAGAAUGUAACUGAACUCACAUGUAUUUUUGCCUCCAGAUAGUCAAGAUGAAUAAAAACCAUACUUGAAGGAAAACAGGUUUUCAAGGGGAGCUGAAGGUGAUUUCCUCUCAGGAAAAAUACAUUAAACUUCCUGCCUCUGUCAUGAUAGGAAGAGUCAAUCAAGAUGUGGGGAAGCACUAAAGGAAGUAAAGUCAUAUUGAACAUAACAUGGGAUGAUCACUGGAAUCCCAGUAAGAAAAGGAAGGCAGAAGGAAUAUGGAGGUCACAGACAAAUCUUACAUGAAA